AAGCCCUUCGGGGUGGAUUAGUGGCGAACGGGUGAGUAACACGUGGGCAAUCUGCCCUUCACUCUGGGACAAGCCCUGGAAACGGGGUCUAAUACCGGAUAACACUCGCCGAGGCAUCUCGGUGGGUUGAAAGCUCCGGCGGUGAAGGAUGAGCCCGCGGCCUAUCAGCUUGUUGGUGAGGUAGAAGCUCACCAAGGCGACGACGGGUAGCCGGCCUGAGAGGGCGACCGGCCACACUGGGACUGAGACACGGCCCAGACUCCUACGGGAGGCAGCAGUGGGGAAUAUUGCACAAUGGGCGAAAGCCUGAUGCAGCGACGCCGCGUGAGGGAUGACGGCCUUCGGGUUGUAAACCUCUUUCAGCAGGGAAGAAGCGAAAGUGACGGUACCUGCAGAAGAAGCGCCGGCUAACUACGUGCCAGCAGCCGCGGUAAUACGUAGGGCGCAAGCGUUGUCCGGAAUUAUUGGGCGUAAAGAGCUCGUAGGCGGUCUGUCACGUCGGAUGUGAAAGCCCGGGGCUUAACCCCGGGUCUGCAUUCGAUACGGGCAGACUAGAGUGUGGUAGGGGAGAUCGGAAUUCCUGGUGUAGCGGUGAAAUGCGCAGAUAUCAGGAGGAACACCGGUGGCGAAGGCGGAUCUCUGGGCCAUUACUGACGCUGAGGAGCGAAAGCGUGGGGAGCGAACAGGAUUAGAUACCCUGGUAGUCCACGCCGUAAACGGUGGGAACUAGGUGUUGGCGACAUUCCACGUCGUCGGUGCCGCAGCUAACGCAUUAAGUUCCCCGCCUGGGGAGUACGGCCGCAAGGCUAAAACUCAAAGGAAUUGACGGGGGCCCGCACAAGCAGCGGAGCAUGUGGCUUAAUUCGACGCAACGCGAAGAACCUUACCAAGGCUUGACAUCGCCCGGAAAGCAUCAGAGAUGGUGCCCCCCUUGUGGUCGGGUGACAGGUGGUGCAUGGCUGUCGUCAGCUCGUGUCGUGAGAUGUUGGGUUAAGUCCCGCAACGAGCGCAACCCUUGUUCUGUGUUGCCAGCAUGCCCUUCGGGGUGAUGGGGACUCACAGGAGACUGCCGGGGUCAACUCGGAGGAAGGUGGGGACGACGUCAAGUCAUCAUGCCCCUUAUGUCUUGGGCUGCACACGUGCUACAAUGGCAGGUACAAUGAGCUGCGAUGUCGCAAGGCGGAGCGAAUCUCAAAAAGCCUGUCUCAGUUCGGAUUGGGGUCUGCAACUCGACCCCAUGAAGUCGGAGUUGCUAGUAAUCGCAGAUCAGCAUUGCUGCGGUGAAUACGUUCCCGGGCCUUGUACACACCGCCCGUCACGUCACGAAAGUCGGUAACACCCGAAGCCGGUGGCCCAACCCCCUUGUGGGGAGGGAGCUGUCGAAGGUGGGACUGGCGAUUGGGACGAAGUCG
rnacentral:rRNA from 1 species